GAAAUGCGAUAAUUAAUGUGAAUUGCAGAAUUCAGUGAAUCAUCGAGUCUUUAAACGCACAUUGCGCCCCCUGGUAUUCCGGGGGGCAUGCCUGUCCGAGCGUCAUUGCUGCCCUCAAGCACGGCUUGUGUGUUGGGCUUCCGUCCCGCGUCUUGGUCGUCAAGACGGGCCCGAAAUGCAGUGGCGGCUUCGCGGUUAUCCGAUCAGCCAGAGCGUAUGGGGACUCUCUCUCUUGUCACACGCCCGCGGCGCGGACCGACGCCUGUCGACCUUUAUUCAUCUUCUCUCGGUUGACCUCGGAUCAGGUAGGGAUACCCGCUGAACUUAAGC
rnacentral:misc_RNA from 1 species